CAAAAAUCUCUACCUCUGGAUGAGAUGUAACUCCUUAUGGUCUGUUAACUCUCACUUCCACCCAAUGUGGGGCUUUUUAUUUUAUACUCACUUAAAUUUUUCAGCUUUACUUUCCAUUUUACUCUUGUUACCCUUUCUCUCACCCUAAAUCAGUAGAUUGCAGUAUUUCCUUUAAAUAGAUGGAUCCUCAUGCAUACUAAUAUCUGUAUUGAAUGUGCCCAAGCAAUCUGGUUGGGCUCGGCGUAGAUGAGUCUAUAGCCAAAGUUUGCUCUAAGAGUGGUGCAAUGAAUGAAUCCCCUUAUGAACUCUUAUGUUGAUAGAAUGCAAGCUUCAACAAGAGUAAUCCAAGCUAUGUUGUUGAUAUAUUCAAGAUACUUGGAAAGCAGGUUCAAAUUGUUCCAGAUAAUAGCACUGAUGUGAUGUUAUACAGAAUCCUUCUCAAGACUUGGUGCUUAUGCAUAGGAUUUUAGAAUUUUCAAGGGUCAUUGUUCAGUGACCAUGAUACCUUGGCUGCACCUAGAUAAGGAGAUUGAGACUACCCUUGAAAAAGUUAAACUUGAUUUGUAGGUCACCCUUGAAAGGGAAGACCAUUCAAAAAUUAGCGUAUGCCACUUGAAGUAGAGUGCACACGGUAUUCUUUAGUAAAAGGCGAAAGAAUAGUUCGCUCUGUGCACACUACAUGGCUCCGUGCUUUCAUAAACACAACAUCAUAGCUUUUAUAUAUAUUCUCAUGCUAGCAACUGUUAGCAACUCUUCGGUGUGGGACUUAGUUACAAGUAGGCAAAUCAUGCUACACUUACAAACACUGCUUUUGUCAUCUACAGAUAUGUCUUGAAUUCUUGGUAAUUAUCAUUUCCCGUUACUGAUACUUAAUUUGAACAAAGGUUCUGUGCAUUAGCUGAAAAAGAUUUUGUAACCAUACUAUUCUUUCUUUUGUUCUUACCCAAUGGUGAUGCAGUUAGAACUUACAAGUGGUUGGCAGAAUAUUGGUUAGUCAAUUUAGGCCCAGGGAUCAAACUAUCUAGUUGGGAUUCUAUCAGCAAUCAUGUUUGCUUUUGCAUUGCAUUGUACUGGGAAAGUAAAGAAGGUGCAUAGCCUUGUGACUAUUAUCAUCUUCACAAAUAUUGCAAUCUGAUACUUUCCUAUUUUCUAAAAUACAUAAUUGUAUACUAGCUCUGGCUGGGGAUGGUAUUUCCAGUUUUCCACUCAUUCAAGUAUUUUCUCUACUGAUCAUAACUAUGCAUACUUAUUUUCCUAUUUGGAGUAAGAGGUGAACUCUUGCCUUUAACUCUAAAAGAAGGCAAAAGGCCUUAGUUAUUAGAACUUAAAGAAGGCUUGGCGCAAAUUUAUAGGGACUAAAGGAUAACCUGAUUCCACAUAAGAUAAUAGACAGAUUAUGCAGCUUGAAUUUUUCUAUAUCAACAUAUCAUUUUAGACGAGUACAAGAACCUGACUGUCCUUGUCACAAUAAUAAGGAAAUCUCUCCAAAUUGCAUGAGUAGAAUAGGAUUUUUUUUUUAUCUUGGUGCUUCCUCAAAAAAUUGUUCUAGCUUCUUUGAAAUUGUUUUCAGUUUCAGCUUAUCCUUUUCUGGUGGAUGUCAAUAAUUGUUUUGAAUUAUUGUUGUUCCCACUUUAUGAUAUGUAAUCAUCCCAGAAAAAUGGAGCUGAUACCAAGGGAUAAUAUUGCUGAACUGUUGUUACGAAUCAAGGCUGAUGCCAAGGGAUAAGUCAUGGUUGAAGACCCAAUUGCCCUUACAAAAACAUAAGAUACAUCAAUUUCAGUUGAGCAAUGGAUAUAAUAAGGAGGAUAAGGUCAUCCAGAUUCCAGAUGAUACCAACAGGAAGAUGGAAUCAGGUUUUAUAAGGACUAAACAGUUUUAAGAAUUGCUUGGUGUCUGAGAGCAUGUUUUGCUUUGCGUGCUUGCUUGAUGUUUUAGUAUCCUUACCACUUAAGAGUGUAUUAGAAGAAAAAAGAAGAUACUACAUUGAUAAUAGGCAGCAAUCAGCAGCAUCCUUGUUACCAAGUUGAAGUGAGAAGGUUGAAGUAUUUAGUCCCACACUGAAGAAGCAUGAGAAGGGAGAGUGUAGAGUGUGGUAUAAGAGAGAAGGUAGGUUCAACGUUACAACAUACUUACCUGGACGGGGUCAAUGGUUGAUCAAGAAGGACCAUGGCCUAGGGUGGUGACUUCCAUUGCACUUAGGAAGGGUGCCACUCUAAGGUCUACCCAAGUGGUGGAGCCUACGUCAUAAUUUGUGGUAGUGGGGGCCUGCGUUCGCGCGGCCCCCUCCAAUUUUAUUUAAAACUUUCGAUUUCCCCCUCAGCCUUCUGUGUUGGUCCAACGCUUUUCUGUGAGUGAACCUGAAAAACUUGAGAGCCAGGCCAAAAUCAAGAAAAAAUUAGACAAGUUACAAUUGCGAUUAAUGACAUAUUGGCACUAGAGUUGGUCCCAUACUGGAGAAGUAUUAGGGGCACGUUGAGUUGAUAGAUGAAAGUUGAGAUCGAAGCAUUUAUUUAGUCCCACACUGGAGAAACAUUAGCAUUUAUGCAUUGUUGUCAUGUUAUGCAGAAUUUCCUUGGCAACCAGUCAGUUAGAUGUGGUUUGCAGAAUAAUGAUGUUUUCUUCCCAACAACAUAAAAAGGAAUCGAUGGCUCUUCUAGGCCAUGAGGAAGAUAUAAAUUUCUGGUUGAAGCAGAGUAUUACAGUUAGAUCCAAGGAUGAGGCUAGAAUCAUGUUUCAAGACCCAAUUGUCAUUGCUUUUACAUAUCAAUGUCUGGUUUCCUUCUAAUUUUAACUCUGCUCCCUCAACCAAAAGAUGUGAUUCAAAAAGAAAUUGUAGUUCUGGUUACUAUAUCAUGAACACUUUUACUUGGCUUCCUUUGGAUGCGUGUCCUUUUCCAUCCCCACAGACAUCAAAAGAAGUUUUGUGGCUAUGAGAUCUUUAAGCAAGUAGGUUUUCACUCCAGCAGUUCUUCCAUCUUUUGUGUUGUCUGUGUGUGGCUAUGAGAUCUUUAAGCAAGUUGAUUGUUGUUUUUCCUUUAAGUAGAUGGUUCCUCAAGCAUAUGCUAAUAUCUGUCCUUAAUGUGCCAAGACAAUCUGAUUGAGCUCGGUAUUGAUGAGUCUGUCUCUAACCCAAGUGUGCUCUGAGAGUGGUUCAAUGGAUCCCCUUAUGAACUAUGGCAUCAUGUGAUACAGAAUCUCAAUCUCCUUGGCAAACAUUCAGGAACUUUUCAAGACUUGGUGCUUAUACAUGGAAUUUUCAAGAAUCAUUGUUCUUUGCACAUGUUACCUUGGCUGCAACAAGAUAAUGAGGUUGUGACUACCCUUGAAAAAGUUAAAGUUAAACUUGAUUUGUAGGUCACCCUUGAAAGGGAAGACCAUUCAAAAAUUAGCGUAUGCCACUAAUUGUAGAGUGCACACGGUAUUCUUUAGUAAAAGGCGAAAGAAUAGUUCGCUCUGUGCACACUACAUGGCUCCGUGCUUUUAUCAACAUAGCAUCAUAGCUUUUAUAUAUAUUCUCAAGCUAGGAACUGUUAGCAACUCUUCGGUGUGGGACUUAAUUACAAGUAAGCAUACCAUGUUCAAGUCACAACUUGUCAUUCUUUUGUCUUCUAUGAUAAUGCCCUGAUCUUUGGUAGUUUUCAUUCUGAGUUAAGGAUUCUUAAAUAAUUUGAAGAAAGGUAAGCUGUCUAGGCAUUAGGUGAGAAAAAUCCUGUAACAUACAAUGGUUGAAGACUCAAUUGUCAUUGCAAAAACAUGAGACAUAGUAGUUACAGGUUGAAGAGUGCAAGGGGUAAGUUAGAUUAAAUGUUGAACAUGUUUACAUUUGCAGCUUGUAGGAUGACAAAUUUACAUUUGUAGCUUGUAGGCAUA